rnacentral:rRNA from 1 species
UCCUACGGGAGGCAGCAGUGGGGAAUUUUCCGCAAUGGGCGAAAGCCUGACGGAGUGACGCCGCGUGUGGGACGAAGGCCUUCGGGUCGUAAACCACUGUCAGUGGGAAAGAUGGGUGUCGGUGUUAAUACCAUCGGCAUCUGACGGUACCUGCAGAGGAAGCCCCGGCCAACUCUGUGCCAGCAGCCGCGGUAAGACAGAGGGGGCAAGCGUUGCUCGGAAUUACUGGGCGUAAAGGGCGCGUAGGCGGGAUGGUAAGUCGGUCGUGAAAUCCCUCGGCUCAACCGAGGAACGUCGAUCGAUACUACCGUUCUUGAGGGUUGCAGAGGAGACUGGAAUUCCCGGUGUAGCGGUGAAAUGUGUAGAGAUCGGGAGGAACACCGGUGGCGAAGGCGGGUCUCUGGGCAAUUCCUGACGCUGAGGCGCGAAAGCGUGGGGAGCAAACGGGAUUAGAUACCCCGGUAGUCCACGCUGUAAACGAUGAGCACUAGGUGUGGGGGGGUUCAGUCCCUUCCGUGCCGCAGCUAACGCAUUAAGUGCUCCGCCUGGGGAGUACGGCCGCAAGGUUGAAGCUCAAAGGAAUUGACGGGGGCCCGCACAAGCGGUGGAGCAUGUGGUUCAAUUCGAUGCAGAGCGAAGAACCUUACCUGGGCUUGACAUGCAGGAAGUAGAAACCGGAACGGCAACGACCUGUUAAGUCAGGAACCUGCACAGGUGGUGCAUGGCUGUCGUCAGCUCGUGCCGUGAGGUGUUGGGUUAAGUCCCGCAACGAGCGCAACCCUCACUCUAUGUUGCCAUCCGGGUAAUGCCGGGGCACUCUUAAGGGAACUGCCGGCGAAA